UACGAAGGGGGCUAGCGUUAUUCGGUAUCACUGGGCUUAAAGGGUGCGUAGGCGGCUUUGCAAGUUGGGUGUGAAAGCCCUCGGCUCAACCGAGGAAUUGCGCUCAAUACUGCCGAGCUCGAGAGAGACAGAGGUAAGCGGAACUAAUGGUGGAGCGGUGAAAUGCGUUGAUAUCAUUAGGAACACCGGUGGCGAAGGCGGCUUACUGGGUCUUUUCUGACGCUGAGGCACGAAAGCCAGGGGAGCGAACGGG
rnacentral:rRNA from 1 species